UCGCUGCUUGCGCAGGCAGUCCACCUAGAGUGCCCAGCUUGACCUGAUGGCAACUAAGUGCAGGGGUUGCGCUCGUUGCAGGACUUAACCUAACACCUCACGGCACGAGCUGACGACAGCCAUGCAGCACCUGUGUUCCGGCUCCCUUUCGGGCACUCCUGCAUCUCUGCAGGAUUCCGGACAUGUCAAGGGUAGGUAAGGUUUUUCGCGUUGCAUCGAAUUAAUCCACAUAAUCCACCGCUUGUGCGGGUCCCCGUCAAUUCCUUUGAGUUUUAACCUUGCGGCCGUACUCCCCAGGCGGUCAACUUCACGCGUUAGCUUCGUUACCAAGGAAAAACUUCCCCGACAACCAGUUGACAUCGUUUAGGGCGUGGACUAC
rnacentral:misc_RNA from 1 species